rnacentral:rRNA from 1 species
GGGGAAACUCAGGCUAAUACCGCAUACGUCCUACGGGAGAAAGCAGGGGAUCUUCGGACCUUGCGCUAUCGGAUGAGCCUAUGUCGGAUUAGCUAGUUGGUGAGGUAACGGCUCACCAAGGCCGCGAUCCGUAGCUGGUCUGAGAGGAUGAUCAGCCACAUCGGGACUGAGACACGGCCCGAACUCCUACGGGAGGCAGCAGUGGGGAAUAUUGGACAAUGGGCGAAAGCCUGAUCCAGCCAUGCCGCGUGUGUGAAGAAGGCCCUCGGGUUGUAAAGCACUUUCAGUGAGGAAGAACGCUUGUGGGCUAAUACCCCGCAAGAAGGACAUCACUCACAGAAGAAGCACCGGCUAACUCCGUGCCAGCAGCCGCGGUAAUACGGAGGGUGCGAGCGUUAAUCGGAAUUACUGGGCGUAAAGCGCGCGUAGGCGGCUUGAUAAGCCGGUUGUGAAAGCCCCGGGCUCAACCUGGGAACGGCAUCCGGAACUGUCAGGCUAGAGUGCAGGAGAGGAAGGUAGAAUUCCCGGUGUAGCGGUGAAAUGCGU